UACGUAGGGUCCGAGCGUUGUCCGGAAUUAUUGGGCGUAAAGAGCUCGUAGGCGGUUUGUCGCGUCUGCUGUGAAAUCCCGAGGCUCAACCUCGGGCCUGCAGUGGGUACGGGCAGACUGGAGUGCGGUAGGGGAGAGUGGAAUUCCUGGUGUAGCGGUGGAAUGCGCAGAUAUCAGGAGGAACACCUAUGGCGAAGGCAGCUCUCUGGGACGGUACUGACGCUGAGACGCGAAAGCGUGGGGAGCGAACAGG
rnacentral:rRNA from 1 species